ACCAAAAGUAGCAACAAGAAGGACAAUAAAAAGGAAAAUGAAUCAGAAAAAACGACAGAAAGUCAGAAACCGAUCUCCCAGAAAGUGCAGUGGAAGGAAUUUGUCCCAUGAGUUCUCACCUGCACUUCAGCUGCCGACUAAUCUGAACCCAGCCAGUUUCCUGUGUCUGUUACGCAUUUCCCGAACCCCUCCCUCUUCUGCUAGGUUGCUCUCGCAUUAACCUCUCCCAGUCCCUCCGAGAAGUUGCCUUUAAAUUCUUCUCGCAGCGACCUCUCAGCUUGUCCGGCUGCUGCUGUCUGAGGCACCAUGGAGACGCGUUUCAUUCUCAGCCUUUGGGUCUUUAACCAACUAGGUGCGGUGCUGAGUGACUCGGUCCGGUCCAAGGAACCCGAGGUGUCCGGGUCAGAAGGAGACACCGUGACCCUCGGCUGUUCUUAUGAAACCAGUUACACUGCUGGUGUCUGUCUCUACUGGUACCGUCACUAUCCGAACCGAGCCCCGCAGUACAUCCUGCGGAGAAGAGCAAAGGGGAUUAGGACCAGAGUUACCGCAGGUUUCGCCCAGGAGAGGUUUUCUUCCCCGGCUGAUGACAGCUCCACAGUUCUGAACAUCACAGCCCUGGAGCUGGCAGACACCGCGGUGUAUUACUGCGCCCUGCAGCCGCACGUCGGAGCCACAUAG